AACGAACGCUGGCGGCAGGCCUAACACAUGCAAGUCGAGCGAGGACUUCGGUCCUAGCGGCGGACGGGUGAGUAACGCGUGGGAACGUGCCCUUUGCUACGGAAUAGCCCCGGGAAACUGGGAGUAAUACCGUAUGUGCCCGAGAGGGGAAAGAUUUAUCGGCAAAGGAUCGGCCCGCGUUGGAUUAGGUAGUUGGUGGGGUAAUGGCCUACCAAGCCGACGAUCCAUAGCUGGUUUGAGUGGAUGAUCAGCCACACUGGGACUGAGACACGGCCCAGACUCCUACGGGAGGCAGCAGUGGGGAAUCUUAGACAAUGGGGGCAACCCCGAUCUAGCCAUGCCGCGUGAGUGAUGAAGGCCUUAGGGUUGUAAAGCUCUUUCAGCUGGGAAGAUAAUGACGGUACCAGCAGAAGAAGCCCCGGCUAACUCCGUGCCAGCCGCCGCCGUAACAC
rnacentral:rRNA from 1 species